rnacentral:tRNA from 1 species
GGAAGGUUGCCAGAGUGGCAAUGGGACGGUUUGCUAAACCGUAGCCGGGGUAACACCCGCGCAGGUUCGACUCCUGCACUUUCCG